rnacentral:rRNA from 1 species
UACAGAGGUCUCAAGCGUUGUUCGGAUCAUUGGGCGUAAAGGGUGCGUAGGCGGCGCGGUAAGUCGGGUGUGAAAUCUCGGAGCUUAACUCCGAAACUGCAUUCGAUACUGCCGUGCUUGAGGACUGGAGAGGAGACUGGAAUUUACGGUGUAGCGGUGAAAUGCGUAGAUAUCGUAAGGAAGACCAGUGGCGAAGGCGGGUCUCUGGACAGUUCCUGACGCUGAGGCACGGAAGGCCAGGGGAGCAAAACGGG